rnacentral:rRNA from 1 species
AGUGAACGCUGGCGGUAGGCCUAACACAUGCAAGUCGAACGGCAGCACAGUAAGAGCUUGCUCUUACGGGUGGCGAGUGGCGGACGGGUGAGGAAUACAUCGGAAUCUACUUUUUCGUGGGGGAUAACGUAGGGAAACUUACGCUAAUACCGCAUACGACCUACGGGUGAAAGCAGGGGAUCUUCGGACCUUGCGCGACUGAAUGAGCCGAUGUCGGAUUAGCUAGUUGGCGGGGUAAAGGCCCACCAAGGCGACGAUCCGUAGCUGGUCUGAGGGGAUGAUCAGCCACACUGGAACUGAGACACGGUCCAGACUCCUACGGGAGGCAGCAGUGGGGAAUAUUGGACAAUGGGCGCAAGCCUGAUCCAGCCAUACCGCGUGGGUGAAGAAGGCCUUCGGGUUGUAAAGCCCUUUUGUUGGGAAAGAAAAGCAGCAGGUUAACACCCCGCUGUUCUGACGGUACCCAAAGAAUAAGCACCGGCUAACUUCGUG